UUUUCAUUUGCCAUACAUAUUGUAUUACAUGAAAUUGCAAAUUACGACGUGUUUCAAUAUCCUCAAUGUCUUGGAAUAGUUCACGCAAAUACUGCAAAAAAGGAUCUGGUUUAUUAAAUCUAGGUGUAUUAGCUCCAUGAUUUGUGAAUAAUUCGCUAGGGGGUAAGAACACAAGCGCUUGAGACGAAUUCGUACGAAUAUUCGUGAAUUCUUGUAGAUUCUGUAUACGAGACAUUAGCAGCGCACCCCUAGAUAAUUCGUGCAUUGGUGGAGCUGAGCUCGUGGGUUGCCUCGUUUUAUUCGCUAUGGACACAUUAACUGCACCCAGCUGUAAAUGAUCGAAAUUUACCCCAUAGACUGUUGUGACUACGGAUGAGGGCCCUUCGUGCAUUGGUGGAGCUGAGCACGUGUUAUGCUCCGUAUUAGUUGCUGUGGAUGUACUACCAGUACUACGCUGUGCUUCCCGUUUCAAAUACCAUUCAUCUUCUGAGUCUAUCAAUACACCGUUUCCCAUCUUCCCAUCAAAAAAUUAAAAAUUAUAGAAGGUAAAAACAAAUCACAUCGAAAAAUGAUUUUGAAUAAAUUCAGUGUAUAGAAUUGAAAACUAUUUAUUUCUAACUCACCGUCUUUCAGCAUCGUCUAAUAUGAUCAACGGACAUAUCAUAAUUUUCGUUAAGUUUUUCUUUCGGGAUCGUUGAAAUAAUGGGGUUUUUUGGUGCUUUUUUCUUAGAAGCUAAGAAACCUUUGACCUUGUAACCGGUGAAUGUACUUUCAUAGUGGAUACCUAGUUCUACUGGCUCACCAUCGUAUUCGUGUAUUCGUCUCUCUUCAUGCACACCCAAAGAUUUUGAUAAUCCUUUCAUAAUAUGAUAGAAACCUUUGAUCAUUUUUUUGCACUUUUAGUUCGUACAUUUCCCUGUAGGAGAAAUCAUAUCGUCGUAAAUAGUUUUCAUAACACAUUUGUAAUGACAGUUCAUUUUCGAAGUGAACUUUUAAUUCUACAUUACGGCAAAAAAAAAAAAAACUUGUAUCCUUCCGAAGUGCCGUGAUUUAUUGCCAUAUGAGUUAAUAUUAUCUCAUACGGACCAAAUAAAUCACAAUGCUCACAUUUCAAAUUCUUGUUUUUUAGACGUGGAUCUCUUACGUAUUCAUAAUACGUAAAGGAUGUGUAGGACUUGAAUGCGAGCAGCCGUUGCAAGAAUUCCGGUUGUAUUUGACGAAAAACAGCAUAUUUCUAACUUCAGUAUAGACUACGAACAUAAAUUUUAAUGUCGUUUCGUCGUUUUGUUCAUCAUCACUAAAACUCUCUAGCACAAUCAAAGUUGGACGGAAUUCCAAAUAUUUUUUCAGUUGUUUAGUAUUUUUAAUAUUCACCGGUCCAAUUUCAAACAUUUUUCCUUUCAAUUUGUAUGUUCGAAAAAUUUGGUAAAUACUUUUCAAACUCUAAUUACAACUUAAAAAUCAAUUGUGCUUUCAAAGGCAAGUCAAUCAAUUACAACGGAUUCCUUUUCAGAUCCAAGCGUUGAGCGAAGGUGCGAUGUAAUCUAAAGUUUAACUAAAAUAUAAAUCAAGGGCAUAGGAGCGUGUCAGUAUGAGUAUGAUAUAUAUAAUCAUAAAUAAUAUCGAAAAUGUGCGCUGAUACUGUAUUACAUGUACAGUGUUCGUGAGAAAAUACUCGAUUGGAGUAAUCCGAUAACUCUGUAAAUGGAUCAAGUGCUUGAAUCUAUUUACUUAACUAUGAUAAGGACAUCAAUUUAAUGAUUGAAAUCUAUAUCUGCUUAUCAGUGGCACUAGCACAGCGCAAGUUUCAAUUCAAUUAAUAAACUCUUCUUUCCAAUUUGGAUUGGAGGAAGUUUCGAAAUGCACUAUUGAAGUGUUAAAUAUUUCCGUGAUAAGAUUUGGUUCAGUCGAAACAAAGAUAACAAAAUCACACACAGAUGCAUCUAUCAUAUUUUGAAUCAUGAUUUUAAAAUAUUUAUUGAUAUUUAUUAGCAGCUAUUGUCUUGGAGCGGAGCCUAAAGGAAAAUAAUUGUUUUUAUUUCGUAUAGCAAUUAGUUUUAUUCAAUUCAUAUGUUCUGGUAUGCAUUACAAUAUCAAAAAGUUACAAGUAUAAAAAGUACAAAUAUGGCAAAUAAAAGUGUCAACCAAUACAAAA